UCCUCCGGUGGUUGUCGAACUAGUAAUACGCGAGCGAGUGUGGUAUAACAAAUAUUCUUUCGUGCAUAGUUCAUACGUGUCAGAGAUCAGUUAUACAAGUUAUUUAGGCGGUGGAAACAAUUUCCUUAAUCUUCCUAGUCAUUUGUCUAUACUAUCAAUAUAAGAGAUAUACUAAACCAACCGAAGACGAAAUCAGUUCCGAUAGCCUUGGAUCUAAUCCAAAGGAACCGAAUUGAUUUAUAUUUGAAUUGUAAUUCCAAAAAAGAUAAAAAAAGUUCAUCUACGUUCCCCCAGAUAAAACUACAAUGCACAUCCGAAGUGAAACACAUAUACAUUGACACUACCUGUUCUUCCGUACAUACGACGAUACUUCCAACAUGGAUAGUACAAAUGCCAGCCCAACAAGGAGAAUAAUAUAUGAAAACAUUUCCCUUUUUAUAUUUAUAUUUAAAUGGAAAAUCAGUCAACGCUGUGCUUAUUUAAUGAUCAUAUGCAGUCGAAGAAGGUAUUAUUAUUUAUAAGUGAAUUUACCAAAAAUAUGCUAAUUGGUAUGAAUCCCAAAUUGGAAUAAUUAUCCGGUAAUUUCUAUAAUGUGGAACUGGAAUUUUUUAAUAAAUCUUAUACAAAUAUAAAGAAUAUUAACGGAAUAAUAGAAUGAUUAGUGAUAAAGGUUUUUCAAUCGUUUCUGUCAUUUGUAAAGCUGUUGUUUGGCACGUAUGAUAGCUAGGGAUUAUUUCGCGUAUGACACACACUUGCGUAUUACUAGCUCGAAAAUCACGGAAGGAAUGACCCCCUGGUUAAGUUAAUCCCAUGUCGUCUCGUUAGAAGACCAAGAUUCCUAGAUUUUAAUUUUCUAGUUUGAGGAUGAAAAAUUUCUCCUCUCCUAUAACUAUUUAGUUAUAUUUUUAUUUCCUUUAUGCACUUGAAAAAUUAUUUCAUAAAACUUGGAAUCUUCUAACGAAAUUGACAGUUAUUUUUUUCUUUUUUAAUUGCAAUAUGCACGUAAAACUGUAAUUGUUUAUAAUAUAAUUCAUUAUUAUUAAUAAUUUUUGUAUUAAUAAUUUCAAAUUAUUUUAAUAAUAGUAUCAAAAACAAUAAAUAUUCUAAUUAUCAACAUUAAUUUCUUUUAAUAUAAUCGUAAUAUCAUAUACGAAAUAUGUAAUGUUUCUACUUUCGUAAGUUCAAGUUAUACUUAAAAAUGGUGUUCUAAUAUUAUUUGGUAUUACUGAGAUUACAAUUUUCGUACUAUGUAAUUCGUAUUGUAAAAUAUUCUGUUGUUAAAAAAUUUUUUCGUAGGAAGUUACAUCUACUUCCAUUUUCCUUAAAAGCACUCUCUUCAAAUAGCACCUUCUUAUCUUGUAAACAUAUAUAUGUUGCUUAAGUUACCCUAGAAUUCAUUUCCGUUAUUGCACGAUAAUAAAAAACAAAU